rnacentral:rRNA from 1 species
CAGUCGCCGCGGUAAUACGGAGGGUGCAAGCGUUAAUCGGAAUUACUGGGCGUAAAGCGCACGCAGGCGGUCUGACAAGUCAGAUGUGAAAUCCCCGGGCUUAACCUGGGAACUGCAUUUGAAACUGUCAGGCUGGAGUCUUGUAGAGGGGGGUGGAAUUCCAGGUGUAGCGGUGAAAUGCGUAGAGAUCUGGAGGAAUACCGGUGGCGAAGGCGGCCCCCUGGACAAAGACUGACGCUCAGGUGCGAAAGCGUGGGGAGCAAACAGGAUUAGAUACCCGGGUAGUCCCUGUCUCUUAUAA